CUCCAUUAAUGACAAGUCCUCUUCAUUCUGACUCUCUUCUGAUUUCCCUGGCUUGCUAUUUCUCCCCCCUGAUACUCUCUUCACACCGUACUUAGCUUUCCAGAGGUGAAAGGGGGUUCAGCGUAAGUCUUCCUCAACAUCUUCAGUGUAACCAGUGAAGGCUUGCCAGAGUUCACAAUUUCGUGUCCCCUUCCACCCUGCAAUGGUAUCAGAAGUCUGACAGCAUGCUCAAUGUACUACACUGAACAAAAAUACAAACGCAAUAUGUUAUGUGUUGGUCCCAUGUUUCAUGAGGUGAAAUAAAAGAUCC
ensembl:lncRNA